CCCGGGCCCGCCGUGUCCUCGAGCCCGAUUGGCGCCGCUGCCCGGCGCCAGCGCCCGGUGCCGCCGCCGGCGAGGGUGGUGCGGGCCGCGACCCGGGCGCCCGGGGCCCUGCGGGAUGGAGCAGGCCAGGACUAGGGGACCCUGCCGGGUGGAGCAGGCCAAGGGCCGGGGACCCUCCAGGCGAUAAGAGCCAAGUCAGCAGGCGUGUCGAGCUCGGCGAAAAACCACGAGCUGUCCUGAGUUUGAACCUGGCCUCAUACGAAUCGUCCAAUCAGAACCCUGUAAACUAUGCUUCCUGCUUCUGUACCCGCCCUUCCGCUGCCCGACCCUAUAAAAACCCUCCACUCCAGCCCGUCGGCGCGCCAGUCUCUUCAGCCUCUGGAGGGACUGUAUCGCCCCGGGUACCCGUGUUCCGGAAUAAAGCCUCUUGCUGUUUGCAUCUGA